rnacentral:rRNA from 1 species
AGUGAACGCUGGCGGCAGGCCUAAUACAUGCAAGUCGAACGGCAGCACAGCAGAGCUUGCUCUGUGGGUGGCGGGUGGCGGACGGGUGAGGAAUACGUGGGAAUCUGCCCAGUCGUGGGGGAUAACGUAGGGAAACUUACGCUAAUACCGCAUGCGCCCUUCGGGGGAAAGCCGGGGACCUUCGGGCCUGGCGCGAUUGGAUGAGCCCACGUCGGAUUAGCUAGUUGGCGGGGUAAAGGCCCACCAAGGCGACGAUCCGUAGCUGGUCUGAGGGGAUGAUCAGCCACACUGGAACUGAGACACGGUCCAGACUCCUACGGGAGGCAGCAGUAGGGAAUAUUGGACAAUGGGCGCAAGCCUGAUCCAGCCAUGCCGCGUGAGUGAAGAAGGCCCUCGGGUUGUAAAGCUCUUUUGUCCGGAAAGAAAAGCCUUGGGUUAAUACCCUGAGGUCCUGACGGUACCGGAAGAAUAAGCACCGGCUAACUUCGUGCCAGCCGCCGCAGUAAGAC